rnacentral:lncRNA from 1 species
GCCCCACAUGGUGACAGCUGAGCUGAGUAGCUGACAAGAGCCAACUUGGUGAGAUUUUUCUUCAGUAUCGUUCCAGCCAAGGCGCGUGACGUAUAUGAAUUCUUCAUAAUUUAAUGCCAAUUGGGGCACUGCCCGCUGCCCGGGCCGCCCGCCCCAAACCCUAGCGACCAAUCCUGAGAGCAAACCAUUGCCACGAAGAGGAAGAUUGUUUGGCAGUGGUAGCCGCCGCGGGCAGGGUAGGGGUAGCCUCCGACCUCCCUAUAAAAUGCAGGGCAAGCUCAGAGUUUCAUUUCAUCCACACCUUCAGGGCGCCGUUCUUGGUACUAUAGCAACUAUAUAGGAGUAGUGUUUGGGUUUCACUUUGAUCUCUUGUGUUCUUUCUCGCAGCGUGUCCGGGUGGUGUUGUGCUUUCUUGCAGUGAGCCUGCUCUGUUUUUACCAAUGGUUUCUUUGUUCAUGUGGUGGUUUUGAGCUCCAUUUUUCUUCUUCUUCUUCUUCUCUCUCCCUGGGACUGUUGUUUUUUUGGUGUGGUGCAAAAACUUCCAAUCCGGCUGCGACGAAUCUCGUCUGGGCAGCCCGGCCACCUUUUGCACAUAAGGAUGGGCUACGUGUGUUGAACAUUAGUGGCGAAGCGCCCGAUUCACUCUGCUUGGGGGCCUGGAGUUCCAUCUGCCUUCCAGUCCUCUCAGUGAAGCGGGCGCACAUCAGUUGGUUUUUCUUUACCCCCCCUCGCCUCCCCUUUUGUUUUCCUGCGAUGGCUUCUGUUUUCGUGUUCAAACAGAAGGUCGUCGUCUCUUGGAUCUGCUUGAGUUUUGUCAUGGUUUAUGUGGCCUGCGCAAUGCAAAGGGUCUGGAACUAAAAGGUUUUCUGUGGCGAAAUUGAUGCCCGUGCCAAGUACAUGAACAGAGUUGGAAUGCAAUGAACUCCAAUGGCAACACGCGCCUUUUAGCGGAAGUAAAAGCCGCCACAGUGAAUGCGAACCCUAAAAGCUGCGCGCUUGAAAACGUUCCAGUUUCGUUCUUCUAAGAAAAAGAAAACACACUCUAUCGUUUUGGAUUAAAGCUGGUGUUUGUACUGCUGUACAUAAAAGCGGUUCUUUUUAAAAUCAACAAAACUGUACUAUGUCUGAAGCUGACAUCCUGACAAGACUGGGACAUAAACGGCUCGUAGUCUUACGGCUUCUUUGGCUAAUCUCUUCUCCGGAGGGAUUGGUGGAUUUAAAAUCUAUCUAUCUCGAACCGAAGAAGCCCUGCAUGGAGAAACCGGACGAAAACAGUUGAUUGACAUAAUUGAAAUUAUGCAUGUUUCCAACGAACAGAACGAUCUCAAAUAUCUUGGAAGUAUAUUCGCAGAAUAUUCCGUUCUUAUGUGUCGCCACAUGCAAGUCCUCCAAGAACGUCCUCUCCAUGUAUGAAAUGAAGACAUUAUACUAGCCCAACGUAGCAAAAAAAAAAGAAGAGUAAGGUCCCUUUGGUAGGCUUAUUUUUCAGUUUCGGCUCUGACUCAUGCAAAAGUUGUAUCAAACACCUCUUUUUCAAAUGGCUUCAUCAGUGAAGUGUUUUUCCAAAAUAAACUAGAGGGCAUGAGCCAAAAAAGUGGCUCACCCGGCUUCAGCUCACGUUAUUUUUGCACAAUAGCCCUCCCACCAGUCCAAAUUAUUAUUUUUUGGUCCUGUCCUCAAUCCCUAGCCACGUACAGGAGAGAUAAACUAUACAAGGGUCUUUCUGAAAAACAACCUAUAAGCCGUUUUGCCAAAUGAUUUUUCAGAAUGACUUUGGCUCAUCUAAAGAAGUGGUUUCACCUCGUGAGCCAGAGCCAAAGCCGUUUUUGGAGAAACCAGAGUCCUACCAAAGGAGCCAUAAAUGCUCCACCCAUUUAGACCCCUUUGGAAUGCAGGAUUGUUAUACGGAAAACAGAUGAUUGAAAGACCGAGAAAAUUUCAGAAAACAAGCGUACGAAAUUUAUAGGGAUAGGAAUGCAUAAUUAUUUUUUUUACAUUAGGUUAGUGGUCACAAAUGUUUUGGAUGAAUCGUACAAUAAUUUAGUAGCAACAAAAUAAUAAGAAUUGAAAAAGAGAUUCAGAGCAAUGUUUAGUUUACUAUAUUUUCAUCAGCACGAUAGGAAAUUUUCCUUUGCUUUUCCUUCGCUUCAUUUCUAGGGUAAUCUAAUCUUGUCAUCUUUACAGGAUGGGUGAUAUACAAAAUGCUAUGUAGUGACUUCAAUGAGCGUGAUUUAGUAUCAUCCGAAAGACGACAAAAAGAUCAAAUAUUUAUCAUAUCUAUAUUCCAAAGGCAUGAAUAAGUUUUUUUUCCUAUAGGAAUUAGAAUCCUACACUUUUCCUAAAAAAAUCCUUCAAUCCAGAAAGGCCCUUAACGGGAAACUGAAUUCAGUAGCAUACAUGAAAUAUGUUUUCCAAAGGUAACAUAGAGAAGUUUGAAUUUGAAUCAUCUGGAUCCAGCUCCACGUAUCCUAGCAUCAGCACUCAGCAGGGUCCGACCAAUUGGCGAUGAUAUACAACAGUACAUGACUGCCAUCAACUUGUGAAAUGUAUUGCGUUCUGCAAGAGCCUUGUGGAACAUUAAUAAGUUGUUUGGAUUGAGGAAUUGGCUAGUCCUUCAUCUUCUCACUCCUCACUUUUUUUGUUUGGUUUGUAGAAUGGAAUGAGUUGAUCCAUCAUCACCUCAUUCCUUAUAGUUAGUUAGUACUAAUAUGAGAAAUAGGAUCAUCCCACCAAAUUUGAGGAAUGAACCCAUGAUGCACCACCACAUUUUGUAUGAAGUGAUUCCUCAAACCAAACACCCCAUAAAUCUGACUAAAUCUCGCAUACCUUCUUACAAAACCGAUCCCUUUGCAAGCUCAGAAUUUGAUCCACAAGGGCAGCAUGGAAACACUCAAUGCAUCGGACCUUUUAAUUUGCUGUUUAUUUGAUUCCAGCGUCAGUUUCUCUUCCAAUUACUCAGCCGAAGAUUGCAUCAAGAUGCCCUAAAGAAAUGCUAAACAUUGCAAACAUGUGAAACUGGUUCCGUGUAACCAAUUUACAAUGGGAAGCUAUGCCCACGCUCCAAAAGUUCUACCAAAACGUCUAGGAGUCAGGGAUCAGGAAUGUCUGAAGAGGGAAGAAACCUCAUCAGAAAGCUUGAGAGGGACCAAACACAGAUAACGCCAAGAAUUUGAAGGACAGUCAGUAAUGCUCCUAAUGAGUUCAUGAUGGCUAGGGUUUGAUUUGUUGUCUCUGUUCCUCUGACAGAAAAUGUGAGUGCCGUCACCAGCUGAGCUGCCCUGUUCAGUUGGUGUAGCCUGUAUACCUGAAAGGAGGGGGAAAUCACAUGACGAGAACUAACUGAAGCAUUUAGCUGGACCUGAGAGCAUCAUGUAACAUCAAAGUGCUUAUCCAUUCAUAGAAAAAUGUAAAAUACGCAAUUUCUUGAUUGUUCGAAAUCAAAAUGAACAAGAGCAGAGUAGGGAAACCAGCUGUGGUUAUCAAGAACCAAGAAAUAACAACUGCAAGCAACCUGGCCCUAGCCUUCUGGUGUACAUUACUACUAAACCAUCCUUGGAAAAAUUGGAUGCACCUAGGCCUUAGAUGGAUAUGUCAUUCUAAGGUUCUCUUUUUGUGUCUUUAAAUCCUCUAUCAGGAUACAAACUUUUACAUCAACAAAACAGUAUACUGGCUGAUCAUCAAAUUGCUUCCCAUAAGCAUCAUCCUUUUUUAAUCUUUGUGGCCCCAGCAUAUCCAAAGGACAAACAAGAGAACAACAUUUGGCUCUACUUCAUAGAAAUAAAAAUACCAUCAACUUAUUUACUAGAAUACUUCACUGGAUUAUUUUCUUCCACAUUUCCCAGUCUUAGUUGUUGCCCAUAGAUUCUUCAAAAUGCUUCCAAUAGAGUCCAGAAUUACUUGAUACACUGAUAGCCAAUCCCAAGUCCCAGCUCCCAAAUAUCAGGUACGAUUGAUCAGAUCACAAACUAAAGAGAUGGAAUAAAAGUAUAAAACUAUAAAUAUAUAGUUUCCACACAUUUGAACUUGAGCAUAACUGGAAAGCACAAUUAAUAACGCUAAUACUUCAUGAUGCAAUCUGAUAGAACCUGCGCUGUGUAGGUGGUAGGAGUGUUGCCCAGGGACUCGGCGUGGAGCCUGGGGCUUGGGUGGCGCCGUGGUAGCGUGGGAGAAGAGGGAUUGGAAGGAUUUGGAUGGCCCGAAGCAACCCUGAGUUGCUUCCUGCCUAAAAACUUUUUUUCUGGAAUACGCAGGAGAGCUGCGCAUCUUUGUAUUAAUAGAAGAAAAGAAAGGGGGAGAGAACCCCAAUACAGCACACACACCACUAGAGACUAACUACGGAUCACCGACUAAAACAUGGAGGAAACACGACCCACACCGCUGUUUUAAGCCAGCAACUCUUCGACUUGGAGGAAGGACAAGGCCUUGGCACCAGUCAUGGACCAGAGCACCGCCUCUUCCCUAGCCAUCCUAAGGGCCAUGACCAAGCUGGGAUUACAACCAUCAAAAACACACCUAUUCCUAUGCUUCCAAAUGGUCCAAGCACCUAGGAUCACUAAAGAAUUGAAACCUUUUCUCACAAUAUCCGAUGCCCGGGAGCUGCUAGACUUCCACCACGACUCAAAGGAUUCCUCAUGAGCUGGAUACAGAUCCCGCAGCCCCACUGAAUUAAGGAAAUCAAACCAGAACCGCUUAGCAAAAACACACUUGACUUAUUCACAUGUGUUAGGCUUAUAUAGCCCAUUACAGUUGGUUGAUCUCCUAGAGAAUAGGAGAUCCACCUAACUAUCCCUUAUCUAAUGAAUAUCUACUAAAAAUAGGAGAUUUGCUAUCUCUCUAACUAACUCUUCUUAUCCCUGCACCUGUAUGCUAUUCCGGUCAUAACAUCUCUCCCCCCUCCAAGAACAGAUCGUCCGCGAGCUGAACCUCCGGAUAUUGCUGCUUAAACUUAGCAUUGUCCUCAUCCAUGCCGCCCCAUUGAACUAGAACAUGCCAAAUGCCACGACGCAGGGAUGCACGAAGCACACGAGCAGGGACUGGUAGCAGUCGGCCAUUUUCCAUUGGUGGCAGAGCUGGAACUGAUGCUGGUGAAGUGCCAUGAAAUACCUUCAGGAGUCCCAUAUGGAAAACAUCGUGUAGGCAAGCAUUUGUGGGGAGCUGUAGACGGUAAGCAACUGAGCCAAUACGUUCCAGCACCUGAAAAGGACCUGCAUAUCGUGGGGCCAGCUUGCUGUUGACUGUAUCAAAUAGAGACGGCAUAGGUCGGUGCAGUAGCUGGAGCCAGACCCAUGUGCCGACCUCAAAUACCCCUUCGCGAUGGUCCUUGUCAUACCAGCGCUUUGCAUACUGCUGAGCUUGCUGCAGACGGGUGCGAACUUCUGCCAAAAAAAUGUCUCUUGCCUGGACCAUAUCAUCCACCGACUGAGUGUGCGCUGUCCCUGGUUGAUAAGGAAGAAGAGCAGGUGGUUCGCGGCCAUAGACGACCUGGAAUGGUGUGGCGCGCAAUGCUGUAUGGUAGGAGGUGUUAUAGCAGUAUUCAGCCCAAGGUAACCAUUCUAGCCAAGAUCUAGGGCGGUCUCAUGUGACGCACCACAAGUACGUUGCAAUGGUGCGAUUAACCACCUCUGACUGUCCAUCCGUUUGAGGAUGAAAAGCAGUACUCAUACGUAAGGUGCUGCCUGUCAUCUUGAAGAGGUCUCGCCAUAAAUGGCUUGUGAACACAGGGUCUCGAUCACUGACAAUGAAGUUGGGAAUACCAUGCAGACGCACAAUGCCCUCAAAAAAAAGCUUUAGCAACCGAGGUGGCGGUAUAUGGGUGGCCCAAUGCGAUGAAGUGAGCAUAUUUAGACAGUCGAUCCACUACUGUCAAUACCACUGAUUUCCCAUGUACCUUAGGAAACCCCUCCACAAAAUCCAUGGAGAUGUCAGACCACACCUGUGAGGGUAUGUCAAGGGGCUGUAACAGACCUGCCGGGUGGAGAUGCUCAGUCUUGUUUCGUUCACAGAUGGUGCAGGCUCUGACAAACUCACAAACUUGUGCCCGGUCAUGUGGUACAUAGAAAUCUGCGCGCAGGCGGUUGAUAGUCUUCUAAAUGCCCUCAUGACCUGCACCAUGCACCAGGUGUAGGAGCUGGGGUAACAGAUCUGACAUGAUGGGCUAGUUCCCCUGCUGCAAUCUGAUCCAUCAUGUGCGUGCAUUCUGGGGAAUGGUUGAAAGGCGUUGAUCCAACAGAAACUUAAGGCUAUAGUGAUCUGUGCGAACGAUAAAUCCGCGUCCCCAUAAAUAUGGCCUCCAGUGACGAACUGCCUGGACGAGACCAAUGAGUUCUCGUUCAUAUGCUGCCAGUUUAUGGUGACGUGCUGCAAAUGGCCUGCUAAAGAAGGCGAUGACAUCUGUGCCCUGGUGAAGAACAGCCCCAAAACCAGUCCCUGAUGCUCCACAGCCCACCAUGAAAUCAGUAUCAAACCGGGGUAGCUGGAGGAUAGGGGCUGAUGGCAGUGCCCCUUUGAGGGCGCAGAAAGCAUGCUCGGCGUCAUCAGUCCAUUGAAAUCCUUCCUUACGAAGUAGCUGCGUAAGGGGGGCAGCCAGGACACCGAAGUUAUGGAUGAACUUGCGAUAAUAGCCUGCAAGGCCUAGGAAACCACGGAUGCCCCGGACAGUGCGAGGUUGCGGCCAGCUUUGGACUGAAGCAAGCUUUUCUGGAUCCAUUGAGACCCCUUCUGCAGAGAUUACAUGUCCCAGGUAGGAGGAUAUUGAGCGAGCUCCAAAAAUGCACUUGGAACGCUUGACAAACAAACUGUGAGAACAGAGUGUAUCCAGGACUGCUGCCACAUGCCUCAAAUGUACUGUCCAAGAUGUGCUGAAGAUCAACAUGUCGACGAAGAAAACCAAGACAAAACGACGUAGGAAGGGCUGAAGUACUUCAUUCAUUAAACUCUGAAAGGUUGAUGGUGCAUUUGUUAAGCCAAAUGGCAUAACCAAGAAUUCAAAGUGACCAUGAUGAGUGCAGAAAGCCGUCUUUUCAAUAUCAUCAGGGUGUACUCGGACUUGAUGGUACCCGGAGCGUAGGUCCAAUUUGGUGAAGUGACAGGCUCCAUGGAGUUCAUCGAGGAGCUCAUCCACCACGGGUAUGGGAAAUUUGUCUUUGACUGUACACUCAUUCAGAGCACGAUAAUCAAUGCAAAAUCGCCACUACUGAUCAGCUUUUCUUACCAACAGGACUGAAGCAGAGAAGACAGAUGUGCUAGGUCGUAUGAUCCCUUGGGCAAGCAUGGUGGCGCACUGGCGUUCUAACUCAUCUUUCUGCAAUUGAGGAUAUCUAUAUGGUCGAACUGCCACUGGUGGCGUUCCUGGGUGUAAAUGAAUGCGGUGGUCGCAUGACCGAGCUGGUGGCAGCCCUUGGGGUUCAUCAAAUAUUGUAGGGAAUGAGAGCAGCAACUGAUCAAUCAUCUGGGGUUCGUUGACCUGCAGGGAGCGCGUUGCUGGUUUGGAGAUGUCCCUGGCUGCGUGGGGAGCCCAGGCCCUUCCACAGGACCCGACGACCUCCACGCGUAAACGCCAUGCACAGGUCUUCGAAAUCCCCGAGAAUAGGCCCCAAUGUUCUGAGAAAUUGGACCCCGAGAAUCACAUCAAAACUGUCAAGGGCAAUUGCAUAGCAGGGGACUGCGAAAUAGUCGUGGCCGAUGACGACGAGAAUUCCUUCAGCAAAUCCUUGGCAAGUGACCUUUUCCCCAUUGGCUACAGUGACCUGUCGACCUAGGCUGGGUCCUAGCUGGACACCCAAUCGGUGCUGUGUAGCUGCAUCUAGGAAGUUGUGAGUGGACCCUGAUUCGAGCAGUGCAAUCAGGUUGUGUCCAUGGAUUGAUAUGAUGAGUUGCAUUGUGUCCUUUGAUCGGGUACCCAACAAGGCAUGGAGGGAGAUCACUAGAUCAACAGCAGUGGUGUCCGAAUCCUCUGCACUAGUGUCCUCCUCCGUGUAAUCUGAAACCUCAAGGUAGAAGAAUCUAUGGCAGUGAUGUCCGCACGCGUACUGUUCGUCGCAGUUGUAGCAGAGUCCCUGUUUGCGUCGCUUGGCCAUCUCUGCAGGUGUCAGUUGCUUGAAUGGACGAGCUGGCUGUGUUGUGGGUGCCCCGGUGACAGGUUGAGCUGGCCUAGAACUGGCUGGUUGGGGAAACCAGUGUAAUGCCUGGGCGCGAUGUUCAUAGGCCCUGGCCAUGGUGAGAGCCGUGUUCAGAUCUGGGGGACUGAGUAACUCCACAUCGAUGCGAAUAUGCUCUGGCAGUCCAGCUGUAAACAGCUGAACCAGUUGUUCCGGUGUGAGGGGUGCGACGUGGCACAACAGCGCCCAGAAGCGCUCUUGGUACUCAUCAACUGUCGUCCGGAAUGGUAGGCGCGCCAAUUCACCAAGUGGAUUGUUCUGGAUGGGGGUCCAAAUCUUUGUGACACAGGAACACAAAGCGAUCCCAGGAGAUGGCCGGCUCUUCCCUGUUGAUCAUGACAAACCACUGGCGGGCUGCCCCUGUCAUGUGAUACGAGGCCAGCCAGACUUUGUUGGAUUCCAGGGUGCCCUGACCAUGGAAAUACUGCACACAGUGGUUCAGCCAUCCUAGCGGGUCCUCCUUCCCAUCAUACAGGGGAAACUCUAGCUUGUGGAACCUGGGGGCUGGUGGUGGCAUGACGGAACCAGGGAAGUCCGUGGUGACAUAUGACAUGUGAGGCGGUGUGGUGGUCAUGAUGGGGAUGGUGGAAAUUGAAUCUGGUGGAUAGGUAUGGGUUGGGUAAAUGUGGAGACGAUGGGGGCUGAUGGUGGAAUUGGCGAGGUGGUGGCGGCUGGGAUGCCGCCGUAACUCGGCAAGCCAUAGGGAAGACCUGCCGUGUUGUUGGAGGAUGCUGAUGAAGAUGCCACAGUUUCCCGUGCUAUCAUGCGAGCGGAUAUCGAGGACAUCUGCUGCACCAUUUGCCGGUGGAAGUCUGCCAUCAUUGUCUUCAAGUCCAGGACGCCAGUAGAUGGAGGAUCGGCGGCCGGUGGAACACCAUGGGUGGUUGGGGCAAGGUGGAGGUUGUGGCCGCCUCUGUCCCUGGCAUUCCCGAUACUAGAUUGAUAGAACCUGCGCUGCAUAGGUGGUAGGAGUGUUGCCCAGGGACUCAGCGUGGAGCCUGGGGCUUGGGUGGCGCCGUGGUAGCGUGGGAGGAGAAGAGGGAUUGGAAGGAUUUGGAUGGCCCGAAGCAACCCUGCCUAAAAACUUCUUUAUUCACAUGUGUUAGGCUUAUAUAGCCCAUUACAGUUGGUUGAUCUCCUAGAGAAUAGGAGAUCCAUCUAACUAUCCCUUAUCUAAUGAAUAUCUACUAAAAAAUAGGAGAUCUGCUAUCUCUCUAACUAACUCUUCUUAUCUCUGCGCCUGUAUGUUAUUCCGGUCAUAACACAAUCAUACCAAUACAAAUUAAGAACAAAAUUACCUUGAAGAUAAUAGGAAUCACUGGCCAAGAAGGUGAUUUCCGAUGCCGUGCAUACUGUUCAAAUGCAAACUGUACAACCAGUCCAACCAAAUAAGGGGCAAGAGUCGCUGAUGCUGCUGGUCCAGUCCAGGGCCAUACCAUGCCCAUUGUUAAAAGAGGUAUUAUCAAGCUCAGAACCAUUGUUGUUACUGAGGAAAUACGGAAAAAUCUGGAUUUUGACCAAAUGUAACUCUUUGGUGCUACUUGCUGCAAAGGUCUCCAGACUUUAUCAAUCAAGAAGACAAAAAUUGCAACUCCUCCAUAAAAUAAAGCCUCGGUAAAGAAUAGUAUAAGAAAAUCUGCAAACAAGAAAAAUAAAAUCCAUCAAGUACGCAUCUUCGUGAUAGUGGAUGGGGAUAUUGCUGAUUUUUAGAAAAUACAAAGAUUGUAAAAAAUGGAUUAUGUGAAAGAUGACAGGAUAGGUCAUUGUGGCAACAUACUGUAUCACUGGGGGUAACAUCUAAGUUUACUACUGGAAGUCUGCAAUUUAUGGAAAAACUAUUGAGAAAAGCAUGUUGGAGAAUGUAAAUUACAUUCUCCAUAUGCUUUUCCAUAAUUAUGAAACAUGUUGGAGUCUCUGGCACGAGGUCUACCCUAUAAUCGUUAUGAAACAUCCAUAAUCUAGAAAACAAACACCACAGUCCUGAAACUAUCAAAGAAAGGAUACCUGUCAACAAGGAAUCUUCAAACACUGCUGAGAGUACUUUGCGCAAGUAAAGAGAUGGAAGAACCAAGAAAGACACGAGAAUAGUAGGGCCAAUAAACCAAACUAAUCGAGAUGCUUCCUUGCCAGGAUGUGGCACGCUCUCCACAGUUGACUUUCGGAAGGUGCUUUCUUGAAAAGAGAUGAAUCCUGGUUUUCCAGCACCUCUGCCAGCGAAGUAGGAGUUUUCAGAUGCAGGGGUAACUUUAGUACCACUUUCUGCCUCAUGCAAAACCGGCAUGUCUGAGUAACGUGAAACGACCGGCUCCUGCUUGUCCGUAGCAGCAAAGCAUAUAGUCCUCUUAAUAUGAAAUCGUCCAUCAUGGUCGCCAGUGCUGCUAAAAACUUGAGCUGCUAGCGUGGAGUAAAAGAUCAGCACAAACUGCUACUCUAAUUCAACAAAGUUCUUCUGGAAAAGCAUAUUGAGAAUGUAAAUUACUUACCUUUUAGAGUACCGAAAUGCUGCAUCGUGCUUCCAUUGACUCUCUGAACUGGAAAUGACCUCCCAAACUGAGAUAUAUAAGCCAUGCCAGCGCACUAGUCAAUACAACAAAAUCGAACAAUUUUAAGCAUAUCUACGAGCUAAUAUCGUGCAGAAAUACACUAUGUGAAGUAUAGGUAGGCACUUGUGACUGGGGGCAUGUAAAGAAAAAUCAAUCUGAGCCUAGGCCAGCCAAGUUAAGUCCUUGAGGGGAAUUUGGGUGCCUAUUCUUUAUAUGAUUAGAAAGGCAACUAGUUACUGCCGAGCUUUUUAAAGCAAAUUCCGAAUGUUAUAUCUCAGAACUUCCAUGAAAAAACCCAUUGGCACAUGGCCACCGCACCAAGACAGAUUCGAGUCUUCCAUUCGACUAGAUCAUGUGCAUAGGGAAGAUGGAUUGGGAAAAUCAAAUAAACAAAACCCUGCCAAAUUCCCAACUAAACAAGCAACAUUUAGAGGGAAAUUUCUAGGUGCAUAAGGAGGGGAGGAGGGGAGAGGAAUUGCCUUGAAACAGGAGUGAGAGAAGGAGCCGAAGCGACAGCGAGGAGGGGCGGAGGAGGAGGUCGCCGACGUAGAGGCGGCUCUCGGGCGGAGCCGGAGGGCGGGGCUUGCCACGGCGGCCAUCGGCUUCCGCCUUCCUCUGUGUUAUCUGCAGAGUGCAGACUGCAGUAGUGGCCUAGUGGGCAACCGGGGCGCACAGUUCGGCGGCCGAUGGGACGGGCACCGGCGCCCCGCAGUCGCAGUAUCGCAGAGGCGCACACCACAGAGCUAGGGCCUGGAGGACGCCUCGCCUGGUCCGUUUGGUGGUGUGAUGGGGAGCACCGGGAGCACCGGCCGCACAAGAACACGACUACACGCCGCGCUGUCAUGGUGUAUUCGAACCGGAGGCCUUGACUGGGCUGAGAACGAGCCUUGGUGUUGGUGGGAUGUAAGGGUGCGUUUGGUUGAAUGUACAAAGAGAGAUAGAAUGAGGCGACCAUGUUUUCUAUAGUGUUUGGUUGAGAGUCAAGCGGGGGCGAGGUGGACACCGGAGUGAUUUUUGGGGCGGCGUGAUCCCAAAAAAUCGAGGGGACGGUGGCGCCCCCGACUCAUCCUACUUUGACCUCAAACCAAACACACCCUAAAGCUGGACUAGAAUAGGGCAGCGCCCUACCGGGCGCUACAGUUAUUGUAGCACAGUCGUACACUAAAAAAUCGUUCGAGUGGCAUAUGUUGCUGUAAAGCAAGCUACAUAUCUACGAUAGUCAAGUUCACAGUUACAAAAUAUAAUAUACAUCAAAGUCGUUAUAGGUUACUGGUUACAUAAAUGUAUGAGCAUCACAGUUUGCAGCCUUGUAGCAUGAAUAUAGAAGGACCAAAAUAACAUGUGAUGCGAUCCACAAACGCAAAAUACACAAGAGCGGGUUGUGGUUGUGCAGUCACUGACUACGGCUAGGCCUAGUGGGUAACAGCACGCACUGACUACUGCAUAGAAUUUCAACCCAAUGUGCAUACAUAUAAAUAAAGAUGCAAUACUCCUAUUGUCAGAAGUUACUUGUUCUGUCAGUUUUAGCAACUCAUCUGCUAGUGAAUUCUGAAUAGAUUCCAAUGAGGCCUGAAACUCACCAGCAUUAUUUCCAAAAAGGCAGCCCAUAUGAGAUCAGAGUAACAAAUGAUAAAUGAAAAUGAAGUAAUGAUUUUGAGUGACUGUUGUCCUAAUGAAUACUAUAAUAGAAGUAUGAAAGGAAUAACAUAACCUGAAAGAUUGCCAGCAGCCUAGCAUAUAACCUGAAAGGUUGCCAGCAGCCUAGCAUAAAUAACCUUAUACAAGCUUUCAGGUUAUGUUAUUCCUUUCAGCCUAGCAUAAAUAUAGCAACUCAUCGCUGCAGCUCCUCGCCUUAUGUUUUAAAUAUUCCAAACUUCUAUAGCGGAAGACAGUUGUGCUGUGCCCGUGGGAGCAGCUGCUCUGUGGCACAACCGUAGAGCCAGAGGCAAGGAGCACCAGCGAUUCAGAUUCAGCUCUUCUGAGGCCAGACAGACAAGUCACCAGCUCUUCUGAGGAGCUGCAGUACUUAGAAUGAAGCAUCAUGAUCUAGCGAUGACCUGUAAACACUAAUUAGUGUGAGAACAUUAAAGCAUGUAUUGAGCUAAAUUUGAGAAGCCACAAUACUCUUGAGGAGCUUCUUUCUAAAGGGCGAGCUAAAAUUAUCUAUCCUGAACAUGACUUCCUUAGGUAAAGGUGUAUGCUGGAUUUAUUGGUACCAAUCACAUAGAAAACAUGAAGGCUCACUUCACAAUUUUACUCACUUCAGAGAGAAACAACACCAUAAAUUAGGAAUAAGUGUAUAAAAUAAAAAAAAUCAGAUGUCAGUCCUGCUUCAGGCUGAGUGGUAGGAAUAUAAUUAGGUUACUAUAACAGCAAACUGUACCAAAAUCCAAAGGUUACGACCCUGUAACCAUUAACCAAUCUUGAAACAACAAAAACAAACUGGCACUAAAUAUAAUACCGUUUCAGUUUGAAAUUAACAACUUCAAAUGUAUGAUGACCUCUUUAAAUUCACACCGAAUCAGCUCUAGAAUUGCAAAUUAAGCAAGUCCUUUGUAGAGUCCAACUUGUUUAUACGUGGCCUAUAGUUGGUCGGGUCUCUUUUAAAAGUAAUGUCAAGAUGCUACCACAAGAAUGGCAAGUGAAGUUAGUGCAGGGAAAUAGAUAAGCCAAUGAUGAAGAAAUCAAAGCAAUGGCACAGAUACAACAACGGGUUUUUUAUGUGCAAAUAUACUCGAGCUCUCAAAUCCUACUGAAGAUUUUUGUUAGACAUCAAGGUGUUAGUAAGGUCUUGAAGAGCCUGGUCUGUCAGAGUCCUGUUCGUUUAUAAACAGCCUGUAGUUGGUUGGAUCUUUUUUGGAAACCAACAUGGAGAUACUACACCAAAAUCAAAAGAAAAAUGGUGCACGAAAUUCUAUGUUUUUGCACAACCCAUGAAAUCCUAGGUUAAUACUAUAGGAACCAAUGUAAAGGGUAAUAAGCUAGACUCCAGGCCAAUAAAAGUUUGAAGUGCAGAUAUAUAGUAUGACUGAAGAUUAAACUAUGAGAACUGCAUAUGGUUGGACCAACAAAGAGCACGCUAUGUUAUUGGUAACAGUCCAUAUUUUGCUAUCAUGCACUUACUGAUAAGAAUUUAUUCAUCCCGGAUACUAAAGACUGUGGUGCAUUGGCAGUACAGUCAAUAGAAGGUCGCCCCUCAUAAACAAUGACCUUGUCAGCCAAGUAUGUUGCCAUGAUGAAAUCAUGCUCAACAAUAAAUGCAGUUUUCUUCGCGUGAAGAAUGAAUCUCUUGAUAACCUUUGAGGCCACAAUACGCUGCUCCAAAUCAAGAUAAGCACUUGGUUCAUCAAUCAGAUAGAUAUCUGCAGGCUGAACAUAUACCACAAUGUAAGUGUGCAGAAGCUGACAAUCAAUCCAAAUGAUAUAAGGUUAGUGGUAUCUAGAGGCUGAGUGUCAUUAAAGUAUUAGGGAUAUAUGGUACCAGGCAUCAUCAAUAACUGGAGCAAUUGGAUAUAUGGUACACAGAAUCAGAAAACAAAAACCAGUCAACCCAACACUAAGUAGAUAUGAAUUAGGAACUGAUAAAGGUACUUACGAUCUACUUUGGUACAUUACUCUAUAUUUUCACAUUACCUGCAUCAACGUUGUUUGCAUCUUCAAUCCUGGUCUUGAAAAUGUUGCUUCCUUGAGAUGCAGAGCUAGGAACUGAGACUGACACAGGAGCAGGAGGGGUAAACCUAGACUGACAUAGGGACGGCGUGGUGGGUAGUAGAGCCGAAUCGAUGAGCAGGGGCAGGGAAGCGGUGGAUCUAGAGGGAGGCGGCAUCGGAGGGAAGCACAGGGAAGCAUUCUUUUAACAUUCCAGGUGCUAAGUAUGAACUGCCCAAGUAUGUUUUGAGUGAACCAACCAACCUGAUCUGAGACAGCUGAACGGCAGCCGGCCGUAGGAAGACCCACCGAUGUAAAAACUGUAAAUGACUGCAGAUGCCGCCAAAUUGAUCCCUUGCUUGUGGUAACUGGAGUGCCUCGAGUAACCUUCACAUUUGCUUUGGCAACUUUCGGCAAUAGGGUUUUCCAGUUCUAGUGUUCAGAUAAAAAGCUUUUGCGUACCCUCGUCUAUUGUUCUUGGUUCUACUGUAAACGUGAGUCUGCUUAGAAUUCUUUGGAGCGAGAAUGCUGCUGAGAUUGUUCUCGUCCACUAUCAUGAUACAAGCUGGAGCAUACGUUUUAGAAACUUGUCACAUCUCGUGCAACUAAUUAUAUUAUUAUGUGGUCUGGUCUGACAUUUGAAAUGAAAUGCAUGAUAAGGAUACGAGCUAAUUCAUCAGAUGCUCACCUCCGCCUCUCCUCGUCUCUGUCUGCCUAUCCUCUCCUCUGUUGUUCCUCCACCGUCAGCUCUUGUCUACGUCCAUUCUAUUCAUUUAUAGUGUGUGAUCCGAUUUAGAGUUAACAGGUGUGUUACAGUUUGAUUUUAAACAUUCAGGUUUGGUCUCAAAUAUCGAACUGUUCCAUUGACAUAUUCAUUUCUAGCAAUAUCGUAUUUGAUUAUUUUUUAAAAAAAGAUGCUUAAAAUAGAAACAAUUUAAGCAUUUUUUCUAAUUACUUCAAAUGUUUUCAUUCAUAAACCUAUAUAAAGCAACGUUGUUUUGAAGAUUUGUAUUGCUAAUUGCACUCGAGGCCGUAAGUAAUUGACCAACUCAAGUACUGGCUAAUUUGAACUGGGUUUGGUUAGGUCAAGUGCUUGGUCCCAUCGCGUGUAUCUGUCGCUCAUCUCAUUGCGGCCAUUGCACAGUUGAUGUACAUUCCGGUUUCAUAAAGGUAUAAAAAAAUUUCUACUAAGAGAGAAGAUGUUAUGGUCGGAGACCAAACUAAAGCAGUUCAAAUCUCUCAUUCUCUCAUAUAAAUGCAAUACAUCUUCGUCAUAUUUGGUACCAUGACAUGUUUUAAACAACAGGUGCUAAACAUUAUUGUAAACACUUGAAUUAGCCCAUAAUCAAAUGCCUAGGAGACGCUACUUGAUACCUAAGUAAUGGGGGGGGGGGCAAAACAAGUCAAACCCCUGACAAUGUGCUUGCGCUGUCUUCUGAAGACUACAUCAUCCGCAUAACACUGGGAUUCAGUGAUACCGUGAGGGUAGGUAAUAUACAACUAACUCCUAGUUACAUGCACCUAGCCAGGCUUUGCAAGGAAGUUAACUAUAGCGUUCAUCUGUUCUCACGGAAGGACAAAAACAACUUGAUUUAAGCCUGGAAACAGCCAAUCGGAUCAUGAAACACAUUUCAUGCUUGCAACUUCAUCGGCCCUUAGCUUAUUCUGAAACAAAAGGCAAGAAACAUCAGUGAUCUGUGUGCCUCGUCGUCACACAACCAUAAGCUAAAACCUUUCGGUCAUAUAGAUGGGCAUACUUGUUUGCUUGGUUGAUCCAUUUUGACUAUUUUCUGGAACUUCCUUGACGGUAGAAGAUUCUGGAAUCUCAGAAGGUGACCUCAAUGCAUCUGCAGCGGUUGAAGCAUCCUGCGCCUUUUCUGCCCCGGGUAUGCACUGCUGCUCUAGCAUCAUCUGAAGACACUUCCCUUGUUCCUCGAUUCUUAGCUGCAAACUUCUUUGUAUCUAAAUUCCAUGGAACAGCAAUAGCGAUGAACUUUGUAAGAUACAGUAUGCUGCAGACAAGGUUACAAGAUAAUUUUCGGGGACAAACAUUAAGUUCAGAUUUUUGGCUAGCUCAAAUUUGAAUCUGAAGUGGUUAGCAGCAGGGAUGUGUAAACCAGUUAUGGUAGACCUAGCAUAUUUAAAAAAACAAAAAUAUGAAGCCUAUUGGCAUGUAAUGCUUACGGUUCAUCAACCAAUGAAGCAACCCGGACCAGACGCAGCGUGCCCUGCCGCCGUCCGUCCCCCUUCGUAUAAUGGACGCCGACGAGGCACCGGAGCCCGUUGUAUCCGCACGCCUCUGCCGCCAAUUCUGAAGGUAGGAUUUCGCCCUCCCGCGCGGCAAUGGGGUGCACGACCUCCCACGACGCCGUCGCCGUCGCUGUCACCUCCUCCAAUUCCCGCCCCGUGCACGCCGCUCGUCCGCGUCCGAGCCCUCACCGCGGCGCGGAGACCCCGCCGCGCUGUGCUGCGAGCGCGUGGCGCUCAUCCGCGCCGCGGCCGACCGCCGGUACGCGCUCGCCGCCGCGCACGCUGCCUACUUCCGCUCGCUCGCCGUCGUCGGUGACGCGCUACGGCGCUUCGUGGCGUCCGCGCUCGCGCCCGCCACGCCCGGGUCCUCGCCGGUGCUCACGCUUCCGCCUUCCCCCGCCAAGCUGGUCGCUGCCGCGUCCGCCAGCCUCCCGCCAUGGCCGUCGUCCACCGUCUCGCCGCUCUCGCACUCCCUCGCAGAGAAGGGGUGGAUCUUUAGGGAGGCGGCGUUGAAGGGAAGCGCGGGAGAGAGGACACGGUCACGGACUCAGGCCACCGCUGCUCACAACUGCAUUAGAAUUCGAUUUCGGGUCCGCGCUCACACGUGUCAACGCCGGAUCCAGGACACUCCCGUGAAGUGCGGACGGGGCUUCAAAAGGGGUGAGGUUUUAAUAACUUAGAUAAUGAAUUGUAUUUUUAUUGAUCAAUUAGAAUUGCCUUCUAGAACGUAUAAUUGUCUCAAAAGGGCCAAUAUACAUACACUAUUGGACCUUUUGAGUAAGACUGAAGAAGAUCUUAUGCAAAUUAAUAGUUUUCGUAUGGAAGAUGGAAAACUGAUAUGGGACACUCUAGAGAAGCAUCUAACAAUUGAUUUACCUAAGAACAAGUUCUCGCUUUAAAUCAUUGCAAUUUUUUCCUCUUCUUCUUUUUUGAGUUAGAAUAAAAAGAAAAAAGAAAGCAAUUUGGCAUCUUUGGCAUAAUCUAUAUUUUCGCGAAAUGGAUCAUAAUAAAAUAGAUUUUAGUUACAGGAGGAUUUCCUAUUUGUCGGUUGUGGCUGGAUUUCCGAGUGGAAUCCUAUUUAAGGGCGUGUUAGGCGUAGUUCUACUUCAGU